GCGGGGAUAGCUCAGUUGGGAGAGCGUCAGACUGAAGUCCACUUCAAUCUUGAAAUCUGAAGGUCGUGCGUUCGAUCCGCACUCACCGCA